rfam:Mesocricetus auratus contig108955, whole genome shotgun sequence.
GGAGAGAUGGCUCAGUGGUUAAGAGUACUGGAUGCUCUUCCAGAGGAUCUGGGUUCAAUUCCCAGCACCC